UUGCCAUACUAACGGUUACCCACAAUUCCCCAUUUGAAAACAUUCACCAUGUGGACUUGAAGCUGCUACGCGCUGCACGAGCCAAGCGGGCAGGGAGACGGGGAAUUAUCCUUUUUUUUCCAUAUCUAGAAUUCUCUAGUGAGAUACAGCUAGAGAAAUAUCAAGUCAGUGGAAAAACCAUGGUGGGAUUUGGUGCCAUUUAUUCGAAAGAUAAGUGUCUCUCAAGGCAGAGUAGCGGAGUUGAAGGGCAGCGUUUCUGGCUGAUGAAGAGGGUGAUACACGAGGAUGGCUGCGCCGGAGUUCAACCUCAACAUGGAGGAAAGUUAGGAUCAAUCAAUCAUGUCCCUGCACAUUAUAGUUAUUGGUGGCUGGCAGGAGUUUGUAGAAUUGCUAAAAGAUAAAACUUAAACAUUGUACAGUUAGUUAUUAAUUGUUAAAUGUAACAGUCUUAGGCUGUGGGGGUUGUGGUUG